rnacentral:misc_RNA from 1 species
GCCAUCGCUGGCCAUAGAAGUGAUCGGGCGAAGGUCCCGGACGUGCCAUAGAGGAAGCCUGCUGAUUUUGUCUUUUCUCACAUGCAACAAAAUGACCCCAUUUUACAGUGUAUUCUCCUGAGUUUGGGAAGUGCCAAACCAAAGAAUCAUCACCCCCAAAUAUGUUAAUGGGUAUGGAGAGGAUAUUAUUGACUUCCUCUUCUUCAAAAACAGACUUAUGAUUUGCCAAAUUCCAGGAAGUCGUUUGAUCAUCUAUAAGUUGUGAAACCCAAGCAACAGAAGGAUCUGCAUUACACUUGAUCUUUGGUUCAUUUGGAAACCAGAGGAUCGAGUUUACACGCACAAUGAUUAAAUUACUCAAGGCAAAGAUAAAGCAAAAGGAAAUUGCUGAGAACGCAAAUGGGAAGAUUCCAGUCAAGAAGCAAAAGUGCUGGGGGAACUAUUUCUUCAUAAAGGUUUAUUUGCCUUUGCAUUUUCAGAAUCACCCUCGCUAGUAGAUUGCAUAUCUUUUCUAUAUUAUAGGUCAAUUUUACUAAGGAGUGUGAAUUAAUUAGUUAUUGCUUUAACUUUAAUGGCCCAACAUUAUAUUUGAAGUGACUUCUGUUUGUUCAGCAAGAGCCUGCUUGAUUUCCUUGCUUGAACGGAAAUACUGAGAUGGAUGGGGUUGUUUAUAGACAUCUUUAUCUUUCUUUGUAGCUUCUUUUUUCCCCUUGACUGCCCAAGUUUCUGCUUUCAUUCACCAGAAUUUGCUGGUGUCUUUUCUUUUUGACUUUUCUUCCCAUGGACUUUUUGCUGGGUUUGAUUUCAUAACCUUGAUGUUUUAAAGUGAAGAAAAUUUAUAAGUUUUU